rnacentral:rRNA from 1 species
AUGGCUCAGGAUUAACGCUGGCGGCGUGCCUAACACAUGCAAGUCGAACGGAAUAUCUUCGGAUAUUUAGUGGCGAACGGGUGAGUAAUGUACAGGUAAUGUACCUUCGUACUGCGAAUAACAAGCUGAAAAGUUUGCUAAUACGGAAUAGUUUCCUUCGAGGGCAUCCUUAAAGGAAUAAAGAUUUAUCGUGCGGAGAUCAGCCUGUAUCCUAUUAGUUAGUUGGUGGGGUAAUGGCCUACCAAGACGACGAUGGGUAACUGGUCUGAGAGGAUGAGCAGUCACGUUGGAACUGAGAAACGGUCCAAACUCCUACGGGAGGCAGCAGUGAGGAAUUUUGCGCAAUGGGGGAAACCCUGAACCGCAGCAACGCCGCGUGAGUGACGACGGCCUUCGGGUUGUAAAGCUCUGUCGUGUGUGACGAGUAGGGACGGUAACACACAAGGAAGCCUCGGCUAACUACGUGCCAGCCGCCGC